UCGACUAGCAUGCAGUCGAGAGGGGUAAGCCCUCGGCGAACUGCUCAGUAACACGUGUAUAACCUGACCUAGGGUGGAGGAUAACCCCGGGAAACUGGGGAUAAUACUCCAUAGGCUACGGAAGCUGGAAUGCUCUGUAACCCAAAGCUCCGGCGCCCUAGGAUGGGUCUGCGGCCGAUUAGGUUGUUGUUGGGGUAACGGCCCAACAAGCCGAUCAUCGGUACGGGUUGUGGGAGCAAGAGCCCGGAGAUGGAUUCUGAGACAUGAAUCCAGGCCCUACGGGGCGCAGCAGGCGCGAAAACUUUACAAUGCGGGAAACCGUGAUAAGGGGACCCCGAGUGCCUGUACACGCAGGCUGUUCAGGUGUUUAAAACGCAUCUGGAGA
rnacentral:rRNA from 1 species